rnacentral:rRNA from 1 species
GCCAUCAUUUAAAGAAAGCGUAAUAGCUCACUGGUCGAGUCGGCCUGCGCGGAAGAUGUAACGGGGCUAAACCAUGCACCGAAGCUGCGGCAGCGACACUAUGUGUUGUUGGGUAGGGGAGCGUUCUGUAAGCCUGUGAAGGUGGCCUGUGAGGGUUGCUGGAGGUAUCAGAAGUGCGAAUGCUGACAUAAGUAACGAUAAAGCGGGUGAAAAGCCCGCUCGCCGGAAGACCAAGGGUUCCUGUCCAACGUUAAUCGGGGCAGGGUGAGUCGACCCCUAAGGCGAGGCCGAAAGGCGUAGUCGAUGGGAAACAGGUUAAUAUUCCUGUACUUGGUGUUACUGCGAAGGGGGGACGGAGAAGGCUAUGUUGGCCGGGCGACGGUUGUCCCGGUUUAAGCGUGUAGGCUGGUUUUCCAGGCAAAUCC